GGGUCCGUAGCUCAGUGGAUGAGAGCGUCAGCUUGCGGAGCUGAAGAGCGUGGGUUCAAAUCCCACCGGAUCCA
rnacentral:tRNA from 2 species